GAUGAACGCUGACAGAAUGCUUAACACAUGCAAGUCAUUGGCGAAGCUGCGCUUGCGCAGUCUAGCCAAGGCGGACGGGUGAGUAACGCGUAAGGAACUUGCCCUGCAGACAGGGAUAACAGACGGAAACGACUGAUAACACCUGGUAUUGUCAGGCUGGCGCAUGCCGGCCUGAUGAAAGGAGCCGCUGCAGGAGAGCCUUGCGUCCUAUUAGCUAGUUGGUGGGGUAACGGCCCACCAAGGCGAUGAUAGGUAGCCGGCCUGAGAGGGUGAACGGCCACAAGGGGACUGAGAUACGGCACUUACUCCUACGGGAGGCAGCAGUGGGGAAUAUUGGACAAUGGGGGCAACCCUGAUCCAGCAAUUCUGUGUGCACGAAGAAGGUUUUCGGAUUGUAAAGUGCUUUCAGCAGGGAAGAAGAAAGUGACGGUACCUGCAGAAGAAGCGACGGCUAAAUACGUG
rnacentral:rRNA from 1 species